UACGGGGGGAGCAAGCGUUGUUCGGAUUUACUGGGCGUAAAGGGCGCGUAGGCGGUCAGCACAAGUCAGUUGUGAAAUCUCCGGGCUUAACUCGGAAAGGUCAACUGAUACUGUGCGACUAGAGUGCGGAAGGGGCAACUGGAAUCUCGGUGUAGCGGUGAAAUGCGUAGAUAUCGAGAGGAACACCUGCGGCGAAGGCGGUUGCUGGGCCGACACGUGACGCUGAUGCGCGAAAGCCAGGGGAGCGAACGGG
rnacentral:rRNA from 1 species